AGGGUUUGAUCCUGGCUCAGAACGAACGCUGGCGGCGUGGCUAAGACAUGCAAGUCGCACGCGAACGUUGCCCUCUGAUCCUUCGGGUGAAGUUGGCGACUAGUAGAGUGGCGAAAGGGUGAGGAAUACAUGGAUAACGUACCCUUGGCACGAGGAUAGCUUCGGGAAACCGGAGGUAAUACUCGAUGAGACCACAACUCCGCAUGGAGUGGUGGUCAAAGGUGGGGACUCCUUCGGGAGCCUACCGGCCUUGGAGCGGACCAUGUCCUAUCAGCUUGUUGGUGAGGUAACGGCUCACCAAGGCUUUGACGGGUAGCGGGACUGAGAGGUUGGCCCGCCACAUUGGGACUGAGACACUGCCCAGACUCCUACGGGAGGCUGCAGUAACGAAUAUUCCGCAAUGGGCGAAAGCCUGACGGAGCGACGCCGCGUGUGGGAUGAAGUCCUUCGGGAUGUAAACCAUUGUCAGGGACUACCAAGCAAAGGAGGCCAAUACCCUCCGGCGUUGAGGAGUCCCAAAGGAAGCCACGGCUAACUUCGUUCCAGCAGCCGCGGUAAGACGAAGGUGGCAAGCGUUGUUCGGAAUCACUGGGCUUAAAGGGCACGUAGGCGGUUUACCAAGCGUCUUGUGAAAGCCCCCGGCUCAACCGGGUAAUUGCUGGGCGAACUGGUAGACUUGAGGCAGGUAGAGGCGAGUGGAACUCUUGGUGGAGCGGUGGAAUGCGUAGAUAUCAAGAGGAACGCCGGAGGCGAAAGCGACUCGCUGGGCCUGACCUGACGCUGAUGUGCGAAAGCCAGGGUAGCAAACGGGAUUAGAUACCCCGGUAGUCCUGGCCAUAAACGAUGUCCACUAGGUGGGAGGCUUUCUGACAAGGUUCCCGCCGUAACAAAAGCGAUAAGUGGACCGCCUGGGGAGUACGGUCGCAAGGCUAAAACUCAAAGGAAUUGACGGGGGCUCACACAAGCGGUGGAGCAUGUUGCUCAAUUCGAUUCAACGCGAAGAACCAUAUCCUGGGCUUGACAUGUUUGGAUGCCUACCUGGAAACAGGGUCGGCUGCCCUUCGGGGUGAAACUUACACAGGUGCUGCAUGGCUGUCGUCAGCUCGUGUCGUGAGAUGUCGGGUUAAGUCCCAUAACGAGCGAAACCCUUGUCGCUAGUUGCCAGCGGGUCAUGCCGGGAACUCUAGCGAGACUGCCGGUGUCAAACCGGAGGAAGGUGGGGAUGACGUCAAGUCCUCAUGGCCUUUAUGCCCAGGGCUGCAAACGUGCUACAAUGGUCGGGACAAACCGAAGCGAGACCGCGAGGUGGAGCAAAUCGGAAAAACCCGGCCUCAGUUCGGAUUGGAGUCUGCAACUCGACUCCAUGAAGCUGGAAUCGCUAGUAAUCGCGUAUCAGCGCGACGCGGUGAAUGUGUUCCUGAGCCUUGUACACACCGCCCGUCAAGUCAUGGAAGCUGGUAGCACCCGAAGUCGGUCCGUUUCAGGGCUGCCGAAGGUGGGAUUGGUGACUGGGACUAAGUCGGAACAAGGUA
rnacentral:rRNA from 1 species